GAAGGCGGCCCCCUGGACAAAGAUUAACGUUCAGGUGGGAAAGCGUGGGGAGCAACCAGGAUUAGUUACCUUGUUAGUCCACCCCGUAAACGAGGUGGACUUAGAAGGUUGUGCCCUGAAGCCGUGGCUUCGGAAGCAAACGCGUUAAGUCGACCGCUUGGGGAGUACGGCCGCAAGUUUAAAACUCAAAUGAAUUGACGGGGGCCCGCACAAGCGGUGGACCAUGUGGUUUAAUUGGAUGCAACGGGAAGAACCUUACCUAUUCUUGACAUCCACGGAACUUAUCAGAGAUGCGGUGGUGCCUUCGGGAACUCUGAGACAGGUGCUGCAUGGCUGUCGUCAGCUCGUGUUGUGAAAUGUUGGGUUAAGUCCCGCAACGAGCGCAACCCUUAUCCUUUGUUGCCAGCGGUUAGGCCGGGAACUCAAAGGAGACUGCCAGUGAUAAACUGGAGGAAGGUGGGGAUGACGUCAAGUCAUCAUGGCCCUUACGAGUAGGGCUACACACGUGCUACAAUGGCGCAUACAAAGAGAAGCGACCUCGCGAGAGCAAGCGGACCUCAUAAAGUGCGUCGUAGUCCGGAUUGGAGUCUGCAACUCGACUCCAUGAAGUCGGAAUCGCUAGUAAUCGUAGAUCAGAAUGCUACGGUGAAUACGUUCCCGGGCCUUGUACACACCGCCCGUCACACCAUGGGAGUGGGUUGCAAAAGAAGUAGGUAGCUUAACCUUCGGGAGGGC
rnacentral:rRNA from 1 species